AAGAACUUUGAAGAGAGAGUUCAAAAGGGCGUGAAACCGCUUAGAAUAAAACGGACGGAGCCGUUAGUGGCCCGGCGGAAUCAGUCGUACGACGCGCGAUAACCGGUCAUUCGCUAGAGCGAAAGUCUAGCUGGUCGCGUUAGUAAAUAGUAGCGUUCGUUCGAUGCAUUUCCGUCGGGUAAGCGUCGCGACCGAUGCGGAAAACUAUCGAAACCUUUCGAAUUGAGGUCGAGAUACUCCUCGUGGGUAUUUCGUAACCAGUUUGUUUGGUCGUCGUCGAUAGAUGAACGCAUCGAGCGUCUGAAAGUAACGCCGGCGUAAACGCUCGCUCAAGCGAUGGAAAGUCGAUGGAUCGGUCGUCGCCUGCUCGCAGGUUUCGAUUUGAUUCUAAUCGUCGGCGUUUUGAAAUCGCGUGCGACGCAAUUACGGCGUUACGGCGUCAGCGACGUCCGAGACGGUCAACCGUCCGACCCGUCUUGAAACACGGACCAAGGAGUCUAACGUACGCGCGAGCUAAUGGGUGGAAAACCUAUAAGCGCAAUAAAAGUAAAAGCCGUUUCGGACGGCGCGGGGUACGAUCUCUCGGUCGCGAUGGCCUCGAGCGCAGUACCGUCCCGUUCUGACCGCUUGUCGGUAGGGCGGAGAUUGAGUGCAUACGUUGGGACCCGAAAGAUGGUGAACUAUGCCUGAGCAGAGCGAAGCCAGAGGAAACUCUGGUGGAGGUUCGUAGCGGUUCUGACGUGCAAAUCGAUCGUCAGACUUGGGUAUAGGGGCGAAA
rnacentral:rRNA from 1 species